rnacentral:rRNA from 1 species
GACGAACGCUGGCGGCGUGCUUAACACAUGCAAGUCGAACGGAAAGGCCCUGCUUUUGUGGGGUGCUCGAGUGGCGAACGGGUGAGUAACACGUGAGUAACCUGCCCUUGACUUUGGGAUAACUUCAGGAAACUGGGGCUAAUACCGGAUAGGAGCUCCUGCUGCAUGGUGGGGGUUGGAAAGUUUCGGCGGUUGGGGAUGGACUCGCGGCUUAUCAGCUUGUUGGUGGGGUAGUGGCUUACCAAGGCUUUGACGGGUAGCCGGCCUGAGAGGGUGACCGGCCACAUUGGGACUGAGAUACGGCCCAGACUCCUACGGGAGGCAGCAGAGGGGAAUAUUGCACAAUGGGCGGAAGCCUGAUGCAGCAACGCCGCGUGCGGGAUGACGGCCUUCGGGUUGUAAACCGCUUUCGCCUGUGACGAGGCGUGAGUGACGGUAAUGGGUAAAGAAGCACCGGCUAACUACGUG